rnacentral:rRNA from 1 species
GACGAACGCUGGCGGCGUGCUUAACACAUGCAAGUCGAACGGGCCUGUCUUCUUUUUUGGUGGUGGGUUGAGUGGCGAACGGGUGAGUAUCACGUGAGUAACCUGCCCUUCGGUCCUGGAUAACCGCUUGAAAGGGCGGCUAAUACGGGGUGGUCCGGUUGGUCCGCAUGGGCUGGUCGGGAUAGAUUCACUGUUUUUGGUGUUUCGGCGGGGGAUGGGCUCGCGGCCUAUCAGCUUGUUGGUGGGGUGAUGGCCUACCAAGGCGGUGACGGGUAGCCGGCCUGAGAGGGUGGGCGGCCACACUGGGACUGAGAUACGGCCCAGACUCCUGCGGGAGGCAGCAGUGGGGGGUAUUGCACAAUGGGCGGAAGCCUGAUGCAGCGACGUCGCGUGAGGGAGGGAGGCCUUCGGGUUGUGAACCUCUGUUUCCGGUGGUGAAGGCCCUGUCCGUGUGGUGGGGUUGACGGUAGCCGGGGAUGAAGCGCCGGCUAACUACGUG